AGUAAUGUAUGGGGAUCUGCCCGAUAGAGGGGGAUAACUACUGGAAACGGUGGCUAAUACCGCAUAAUGUCUACGGACCAAAGCAGGGGCUCUUCGGACCUUGCACUAUCGGAUGAACCCAUAUGGGAUUAGCUAGUAGGUGGGGUAAAGGCUCACCUAGGCGACGAUCUCUAGCUGGUCGGAGAGGAUGAUCAGCCACACUGGGACUGAGACACGGCCCAG
rnacentral:rRNA from 1 species